rnacentral:lncRNA from 1 species
UUUUGUUGUUUUUGUCUCUUCUAGGUUUUGGAGGUUGCCAACUAGUCAUUGAAUAUUCCAUCUCAUAUAGUUCCCAGGAACAAACUUGACAGAAAUGGGGAAGUUACCACAGUUCGGACUAUGUGUGAUUUAUGCCUGGAAUGGAACGGAUUGCGAAGAAUCAUCAGGGAACCUGAAAGAUCAGUUUGCUGAAAUACAUAGAAGUCUGAAGGAAACCUAGGCUUUAAUU